AAAAAAUCUCUUUAUUGAUGCCUUCUCUGCUGCUGCUGGACCCGACACUUGGAACUGAGAUCGUCUGUUCUCUGAUGAUUGGAACUGCUCCUGUUUCUGGUCUCCUUUUGUAAUUAUUUAGGGUGCAUUAUUUUUAUUGUCACUCUGCUUGACAAAUGGCCGGACUCCUGUGGCAAGGAAGAAAUCUUUUUAGAUCAAUUUUACGUUCUAAAAGCCAUUAUCACACUUUCCUCACCAUCGUUUUAUUACCCAUGUAAAAAGUGCUUGCCUUUAUCCAUGCCAAAGCCUAAACAAACUUUUCUUUUCAUUAUGUUAUGCUUUAAUUAUUUGUAUGAUAAUUCUUUUUUCAGCAUAGUACUGUAACUUGUAUUGCACUGAUGAAUGUUGUUUAACUUAUUUUGACCAUUUUUAUUUUAUUCUGUUUGCAUUCCCUUCAACGUUUCACCUGACCUUUUCAGCAUCUUUGUAUUUUACAUAUAUGUGCUAUUCAUUCUAUACUUUUACAUUUCCACACACUGUGUACAUAAAAAUCCUAGCCACAAUAGAAUAUGUGUGUAAAACCUUU